rnacentral:lncRNA from 1 species
UACUAAAAAUACAAAAAAAUUAGCCGGGCAUGGUGGCGGUCGCCUGUAGUCCCAGCUACUUGGGAGGCUGAGGCAGGAGAAUGGCGUGAACCUGGGAGGCGGAGCUUACAGUGAGCUGAGAUCGUGCCACUGCGCUUCAGCCUGGGCGACAUAGCAAGACUCCACCUCAAAAAAAAAAAAAAAAGAAAAUUAUCCUGUGAAUGCACCCAGUAAUAUGACAUAUAAUUUGACAACCAGUGGUGAUAAAUAAUUGCUCUAAGUUUCUUCAGUUUUUUUUUUUUUUUAAGAUUUCCUUCCUACCAGUAUUCUGUCUGUGAGACACCAGAUGUUCUAUAAGCCUGUGGUCUAUGGUAGCAUUUCCCCAGAGGAUUAUUCUUCUCAGAACUCUAGUGUCUCAUGAAAUGUCAUUAACUCUGGCAUGUAGCAGCAGAAGAGAGCAUUGGAAAGAGUCCAGUGGAGCAGAGAAAGGUGGGGAGUGGACGAUCAAGGACAGCCAGGUCUUGAUUUGGAAAAGAUGCCCGUGGAAAGGACACUCACUGAAAAGUGUGUUCUGUGCCCUGGAAGGCUGGAACUGGAAGGCUGACUACAUCAGGGACGACUCUCUUGCUGUAGGGCUUCUUGUUGAGUCCAGCCAAUGCCAGACAAAUGAGGGAAUCCAAAGGUGGGAGAAGAGCGAGAUGAAGGAACGGGCUCAGAGAAGUCACAGGUCCAAGGUCACACACCCAGUAAGGGGCAAAGCCUGGAUUAGAGGGUGGGCCUGUUUGGUUCCAAAGUUCAUUCCCUUUCAUGAGACCAACCGCCAUUUCGAAGAUCAUCAAAAGGGAAUUCUAGAACUCAGAACUUUUUGGCUUUUCUGA